AUUCAUAUCCAUAUCUAUAUCUAUAUAUCAAUCAAUAUCUGUAUUAACCUCCAAUAUACCCAUUAUUUCCUCUCAAACAGAUCAAAUCUCUUCUCCACCUAAAAUUUCUCUUUUUCCUUAAAAUCUAUCAAACACCAUUUUCAUCAUUAAACCCUGAUUUAAAAAAAAAAAAAAACCUUUAACAAUAACAACACAUAUUGCUUUUCCUCUCCAUUAUUACAUGCAUGCCUCUGACUUUUCUUUUGUAUCAUUAUUAAAUUAAGUUUUAUGCAGGUUUGUAAAAGAAAGAAGUAGGAGGGCUAGAGAUGGACACUUUGGAUCUCAAGGGUUGAAGAUGUGAAGAUCAGAAGAUGAGGAGUAUAUAUACUCCAUUAUACCCGUUUUAGGGUUCUUGAACACAAACCUAAAAACACACAUAUAUGUGUUUCUAUCUGUAUUCUUGUUCCCUAAAUUAAGGGUUUAAAUCCCUUGUUUUGUAUUAAUAUUUAGAUUCCUGAUAUUGAAUCUAAACUAUUUUGUAAACCUUAAUCUUAAUAAUAUUGGUACUUUUGUGGUUGGCAAUCGGGCCGACUAAUUAAA